CUAUCUUCGUUUCUAUCUCUCUGUGUCUAUGUCUGCCUCUCUCUCUUUCCCUCACACACACCGUGCUGAGGUGCUUCCUGAACAGGGCUCGCUCUAGGACCCAGUGAGAGAGAGACUAGGGGGCGCGGUGAUAUUUUUAAUCUGACCACAGAGCCUGUUAACUCGCUGCUGCUGUUUCCUCGAAACUGAAGACAGCUCUGACAGAAGUGCCUUGUGCCUUUUAGCAUAGUUCUUCAUCCUCAGUGUGAUACUAACCGCUGUAUGGUAGUACCCCAGGCCGCUUGGAGCAGAGACACCCCCAGGUCCCAGACAGCGGGCCCCCCCUUCAUGGCCCCGUGGCCCUGUGUGUCCUGACAUGCCAGGCAGCAGCAGCAGCACAUGCCAAGCCCCAACAGGCCAGCCAUGGAGCAGCAAGCCUGGAUACUGAGGGGCUUCCUGGCUCAAGUGGAGAGCAAGGAGGCUGAGGUGGAGGAGGCGGAGAGUGGCUUCACCGGGGAGUUCUUGAGGCUCAAACGCCAGUCCACCAAGUACCGCACUGACAGAACCUACCCCACAAAGAUAGCAGAGAAGCAGGAGAACGUGAAGAAGAACCGAUACAAGGACAUUGUUCCCUUUGACCACAGCAGAGUGAAACUGUCCCUCACCACCUCCAAGAACGAUAAUGACUACAUCAAUGCCAGCUUCAUCAAGGGAGUGUCAGGGGCCAGGGCCUACAUUGCCACCCAGGGCCCUCUUCCCCAUACCGUGCUGGACUUCUGGAGGAUGCUCUGGGAGUACGACACAGAGGUCAUAGUGAUGGUUUGCAGGGAGUUUGAGAUGGGCAGGAAAAAGUGUGAGCGCUACUGGCCAAAGAAACAAGAGGAACCUUUUGUGUGUGACCCGUUUACUAUUUACUGCGACUCAGAGGAGAGUAAAGGAGACUAUGUGAGCAGGAACCUAAGAGUGACCUACCGCAAUUGGAGUCGUACCCUGAGACAGCUGCACUAUAUCAACUGGCCGGACCACGGGGUCCCAGACACCAUCCCUCCCAUCCUGGAGCUCCUGCAGGAGAUGAGAGCUACCAGGCCCAUGAGGAUGUACCCAUCUGUAUCCACUGCAGUGCUGGCUGUGGAAGAACAGGAGCACUGUGUGCCAUCGACUACACCUGGAACCUGGUGAAAACACAGCUGCUCACAGAAGAAUUCAACAUCUAUGACCUGGUCAAAGACAUGAGAACACAGAGGCCUUCCGUGGUUCAGACCAAGGAACAGUACGAGCUACUAUACAGAACCAUCAAGUUCCUGUUUGAGAAGUACCUGCAGUCCAUGGCACCAGUCCCCCCUUCCUGUACAGAGGAGGUGCCAGCGGCCCCCUCACCCCCUCCAGCCAGUGACAGUGAGCUCUCUGACCUCAGUGAGGAGUCUGAAGCUGAACAGGAACCAGAACCUAAAAUGGAACCACAGACAGAACACAGGCACACAGAGAGCGAGGAGCCUGGUGGGAUAUCCAAUCACGGCAUACCAGUGGCCUUCUUUGCCCCAGAAGUGCAUGUUGACCCACUGUGUGACGCGGCUAAGUGCUCCCCCUCAGCCAUCCUCAAUGCUCUGAGAGCUAGGGACAGCCAGAGGGAACAGCAGAAACCAUACUCCCUACAAACACAGACUGUGAACCAGAAACCACAACCCCGCAAGAAACAGCCCAAUAACAUGGCCGUCAAUCAGAGACCACCAUACCCGCUACCGACAGAGCCUAAUUACCAGAGACCUUAUUUCCUACACACACAGCCUGCUAGCCUGCCCACCAGCCAGGACCUGAGGCAAGAGCCCAGCCCCAGUAUCCCCAUCAUAACCCCUCAGGCACUCAGGCCUCAGGAGUUCUCUCAGAUAGCCAUGGAGCAAGAGAAGUUGGAGAUGGAUAGAGAGAUCACCCCACUGGAAAUACCAGUGCUUCCUGUGGACUUAUUCUCCAACUCCCUCUGUCUCACCAUGGAGGACCCCUACUUUGGGCCUGACUCACCCCUGGCUGCUCAGGAUCCCAAAGGGUCUGAUGAUGAGGAGGAGCAGGCUCCACUGAGCCAGUGGACAGAGAACCCCUGUUUCAACGGACCCAGCCUGACCCUUAACAGCCAACGGAUGGAGCUGCCAGCCCUCACCACCACCAACGCUGCCCUGGGUGCAGUUUCUUCAGAUGAAGACAGUCCACCUCCAUUACCUGAGAGAACUGCUGAAUCAUAUGUACUGGCUGCUGGUGCAGAGCGCUUGGAUAACAUCUCUAAAACUAAGAUGUUAGAAAUCAUCCUCCCUUCUGAAGCUGAGGCCCUCAGGGGGGGGAAUGGUGAGUGGAGGAAUGGUGAGCGGAGGAAUGGUGAGCGGAGGAAUGGGAGUCCCCUGUCGCCUAUCCCCCCACUGCCAGAGAGAACGCCAGAGUCCUUUGUGUUGGCCAACGAUGCCGGUAGGAGCACUCCUGUCUUCCCUCCCCUCUCAGUCCCUGUAGAGAAGAUGGUCCAGGACAGGCCAAAGGACAGCAGGAUUGGAACAUCCUCGGAAUGGUGUGGCCAUUUAGGGGACACACCAGCUCUGGUGGAGAAGAGAUCUUGGACGAGGAGCAGGAGCUUAAAAGUUAAAAUGACAACACUCUCAGUAUCACCCCAGGUUACAGUAUCACCCCCGGUUACAGUGCCUCCCCUAGUUGUAUCUUCGGUUCCUGCUCUCUGUACAUCUGUAAACCUUCCUCCUCCCCCUCCCCACCCUCUGGUCCUUACUCUCUCACCUCCAGAGAGACUGACUCCGCCUCUACCUGAGAGAACCCCAGAGUCCUUCAUGGUGGUCGUGCAGGACGGUGAGCACAUCUCUUCAUCCCCACCACCUUCGCAAUCAUCACUUGCAUUUGAUCAAAACAGCGCCCCCUGCCUGCAGAGUCUGAGCAGCCAGACCACAACCACACAGCAGAGGAUCGGUACGUCCUCAGAGUGGUCGGGGAACUCCCAACCCAAAAGAUUCCUGGAUGGAAUCAUGAAUCGGAGCAAGAGCGUCCGGGCAAAGAGUUCACGGCAAGAGCACCUGGUGACUGUUCAUCUGGUUGCUCCAGCCGUUGUGCCCUUGGCGACAGCAGGAAGUGCUGAGAUGAAGCACCAGCAGCCGGUGGUCAACAGCAUCUCAACCAGCUCUGGUACUGCUGACAACAAAUCAGACAAGGACAGUGGGAAGGGCAUGUCUAGAACAAAGAGCCUGAAGUUCUUCAAGUACAGACAGAAACCAAAGACAGCCCCCCCACCAGCAACAGCCCACUCUGGAUCACCUCCUCCUUAUGGCACCUCUGCCUCAUCAUCAGUGUUCAAAUUUGGAUUUGGGAGUCGUUUUGUGAAGCCUAAAGGGCCAAGGACUCACCCCGAGACGUGGUUUUAAGGCAGGCAGUCAACAAAGCUGGACACGUCUGGCCACUGUCCUGAGAUCACAGGGCUGGAACCCUGCAUGCGGCUAGUCGAUACCGACUACUCAACUGAACCAGUGAUAGCCUGGUCCCAGGCCUGCUGGUGCCAUUUUUCCAACUCCUGUGUCAUUAUCAAGUGAGACCAGUGACCGUUCCCAGACUAAUUAUCACAGUGUGAAGGAAGAGUAUUUCAUGAAGACAUGGAGGAUGACAGACUGUACUGUAGCAUUCUCCCUCUGCAUCGAUUCUGGAAGGACACAAGCACGGUUUCUCAAACUGCUGUUAUGGCUCGGUGAUCAAUCUCUGAUGAGAUUUCUUUUACCUGCUAUUCAUGACAAAUUGAUUGUACUGUGGUUGCGAAAAACGCAAAUCACAUGUUGGCAAAAGGAUGGAUGAGUUGAUAAAUAUGUUUGAGAGGGCUACUUUUGACUAUUUUGCCUGGUCAGAUACUGUAAAUUGUUGUUAACACUUGAUACAUGUUAUAUCCAGAUAGUUUGUGUUUGUCUACUUUUGAUCCAGACAAAAGCUAGAUCUACACCUGCACUGUUAAGUGUGAAUGUUACCCACCACGAUGGGACAACUGUUUGUAGGAUCAAUAUAUUUGUACCGGUAAUAUUUUUCAUGGAGGUGUGAGAUAAGACCGAUACUGUACGUACAUCACGUUCAUUGUGUGUAGGUUGGUGGAUGUGUUUUCUUUACAGGCUAUAAUUUAAAAGCAAAUCCAAGACCAAUUGCUGUAAAUUUAACCAUUGAUGAGGAUCGCUGAUUUCUUCUCUAUAAUGCUUACAAAAGUAAUGCCACUCAGUUGUUUCAUACAUAAUACAGGCAUACAGUUAUUUAUUGGUUUUAAACACAGGAAAAGUUGAUGCAUUCCAUUGUGUGUUUUCUCAAUUUACAUGACUGAUCACACUUUUAAUAACAUAAUUCUAUUAAAUGUAACUUAUUAUUUUUUCCC